UAACUUUAGAUUAAAUAGGAAUACCUAUUAACUUUAAAUAUAUUAAUAAAUAGAAGAAAGGAAACUAAUAAGAAUUAUUUUAAUAAUAGUAAGUAAAGUAGUAAUAGCUUAAAUUCAAAAUCUAAUUCUAAAGGCUUAAGUUGUAAUUUAUAGAAAAUACUUUAAAUAUAAUACCUUUUAAAUUCCCUAGAAUGAAGUACUAUAGGAAAUUUAAACAUUAAAUUUAUAUAAAACUCUUUUAAUAAGUUAAAUAAUUUAAAAAUACUAUUUAAAAUAAGAAGUAUAUUUCUUCUAAAGCUAAAUACUAGCUAGAGAUUAAUAGGAUAUAAAUAGAAUAAUUAAAAGAUAAAGAAUACUUUGAAAAGAAAGUUAAAUAAUAUGUAGAAUUAUUAAAAAGAAGUAUUUAUAAUUAGACUUAUAUUUAAUAGAUUACCUAGUUCUUAUAACUAGAGUAUUCUACUAGUUUAAAUUAAUAUUAGCUUAUUAUUAAAAAUAAAAGCCUUAGGAAUAUAAUUCCCUCUAGGGAGUAUUAUAACUUAUUAUAUAAUACCUUUUAAUAAGUUGAAGUAUACAUUCUAUAAAAAUAGUAAUAUAAUAAUUAUUAGCAAUUUAUUUUAAAAUAUAGAUUAAAGAGUUAACUUUAUAUAUAAGUAUUUAGAUAUUAAACUUCUAUAUUUAAUAAAAGUAAAUAUAAGUAAGAACUUUAGUAUAUUAUUAAUUAAUCCUCAUAUUCUUCAAUAGAUUUAAAUAAAAAUAUA
rnacentral:ncRNA from 1 species